CCUACGGGAGGCAGCAGUAGGGAAUAUUGCUCAAUGGGGGAAACCCUGAAGCAGCAACGCCGCGUGGAGGAUGAAGGUUUUCGGAUUGUAAACUCCUUUUGGUAGAGAAGAUAAUGACGGGUUCUAACGAAUAAUCACCGGCUAACUCCGUCCCAGCAGCCGCGGUAAUACGGAGGGUGCAAGCGUUACUCGGAAUCACUGGGCGUAAAGAGCGCGUAGGCGGGAUAGCAAGUCAGAUGUGAAAUCCUAUGGCUUAACCAUAGAACUGCAUUUGAAACUGUUAUUCUAGAGUAUGGGAGAGGUAGGUGGAAUUCUUGGUGUAGGGGUAAAAUCCGUAGAGAUCAAGAGGAAUACUCAUUGCGAAGGCAGCAUACCGGCGCUCAACUGACGCUCAUGCACGAAAGUGUGGGUAUCGAACAGGAUUAGAUACCCUUGUAGUC
rnacentral:rRNA from 1 species